rnacentral:rRNA from 1 species
UACAGAGGUCUCAAGCGUUGUUCGGAUUCAUUGGGCGUAAAGGGCGCGUAGGCGGCCGAUCAAGUCGGGGGUGAAAGCCUGUGGCUCAACCACAGAAUUGCCUUCGAUACUGUUUGGCUUGAGGCCGGAAGAGGUUAGUGGAACUGCGAGUGUAGAGGUGAAAUUCGUAGAUAUUCGCAAGAACACCAGUGGCGAAGGCGGCUGACUGGUCCGGUUCUGACGCUGAGGCGCGAAAGCGUGGGGAGCAAACAGG